AUGACCAUGAAGACAAGUUAUUAUCGUGGGAGGGACAAAAGAAUCUGAGUGGCUCAUGAGAGACGGAGCCAAUUGCUGAGGACAUUUUAUAGAGCGCCCUUUCUCUUUAGUCUCCAUUUUCUGCAAUCAGGAUAAUGCAGUUCAUUUCAGAGCCAUUUUCAUUUUUGAAGUGCCCUUUCAUCAUUAGCUAAUAAAUACUCAUCAAUGAAUUUCCCUCCCUGUCUUGGAAGUUGGAGGAAAAAGAAAGUGAAGAUCCUGGUGUUACACAUCCAAUUGUUCACCUCCUUCCAAGACUAUGACAUUCCAGGAAACCUUCAGUGCUAAGAGGAACUGAUAUCUAGAGUAUCUCCUCGAGGAAGUACAACCGGUAAGUCCUCACCAGUGAGUUUAACGUUUGUUUCUAAAAUGUACAAAUAACAACAAAGAUCCC
rnacentral:lncRNA from 1 species